rnacentral:rRNA from 1 species
GACGAAGGGGGCUAGCGUUGCUCGGAAUUACUGGGCGUAAAGCGAGUGUAGGUGGUUGUCCAAGUUGGAUGUGAAAGCCUUGAGCUCAACUCAAGAAAUGCAUUCAGGACUGGGCGGCUAGAGGACCGGAGAGGAUAGUGGAAUUCCCAGUGUAGUGGUGAAAUACGUAGAGAUUGGGAAGAACACCAGUGGCGAAGGCGGCUAUCUGGACGGUUUCUGACACUAAGACUCGAAAGCGUGGGGAGCAAACAGG